GACGAACGCGGCGGCGUGCCUAAUACAUGCAAGUAGGACGCACAGCCUAUACCGUAGCUUGCUACACCAUAGGCUGUGAGUUGCGAACGGGUGAGUAACGCGUAGGUAACCUGCCUAUUAGAGGGGGAUAACUAUUGGAAACGAUAGCUAAUACCGCAUAACAGUAUGUAACACAUGUUAGAUGCUUGAAAGAUGCAAUUGCAUCGCUAGUAGAUGGACCUGCGUUGUAUUAGCUAGUAGGUAGGGUAAUGGCCUACCUAGGCAACGAUACAUAGCCGACCUGAGAGGGUGAUCGGCCACACUGGGACUGAGACACGGCCCAGACUCCUACGGGAGGCAGCAGUAGGGAAUCUUCGGCAAUGGGGGGAACCCUGACCGAGCAACGCCGCGUGAGUGAAGAAGGUUUUCGGAUCGUAAAGCUCUGUUGUUAAGGAAGAACGAGUGUGAGAAUGGAAAGUUCAUACUGUGACGGACUAACCAGAAAGACGCA
rnacentral:rRNA from 1 species